ACUGCUCCUUCUAAUCACGGCCCCCUCGGCGCCCCCCUUCUCCGAGGCCAGUCGCCUGCCCUCCUCCCAGUCCUCUCCCCUCUCCGAGAAGGGAAGAAGCGAGAGGGAGAGGUGGGAGGGGGCAAGAGCAGCGUCCAAAGAGAGCGGGAGAGGAAUCCUUUUUUGGGAGAGCAGUUAGGAGGGCUGGGGUGGGGGUGGGGGCUGUCUUUGUUUAAAUGCUUGGCAUUCCUGUCAUCGUGCUUGCUUACGGGGUAGACCCUGUGUGUGCGUGCGCCUGGGGAAUAAACACAUGUUGGAAGCCUCGAUAUUAUUUUCUAAGCAGAAACCUGCAGCCUUUAGAAACUGGCAAAGUGUAGCGUCACCUAUCUGGAUAAAAGGGAAAUAAACUUUAAUGGCAACUUUGUGUACCGAAGAGUCCCUAGCUCCUUUUCUCUCCUUCUUUUGACUUUGUGCCACUUGAUCGUACAUGGUAUUCCCCCACGCGAGGCUUCCCCACUUUUCAGUCACUGCCGCCGCAUCCUGCCUCAUCGAAUUUCAUUUCUGGUUGUUUUCUAAACUGUAGCCAUUUGCUCUUAUUUCAGUGGCUGUCGGGGCCCAGCCAGGAUGGGGGGGGGGCGGUGUUGAGAUAAGCAGGAGAUACUUGGGAAGAAUUCUUACACUUCAAAGAAGAAAAGAGGCUGCUGCUGGAUUUUGGUUGGUCCUCAUCUGGUCUGCUCAAUCUAUAGGAAUUGAAGGGCCUCCUCUUAAAGGAAAAUUUAAAGCAAAAAGAAGAAAAGAGAAAGAAAUCCGUCCAGAGUGGGGUCCAAGGAGAAAGAGGGAAGCCAGCUCCACUCUGCGGCCUUGCCCCCGAGCAUUCCGAUACGCGGCAAUAUGGUGCAGUGAACUCACUCCCCUCGUCGCCUUUACUAAGAUUUUGCAAACUUCAGGCAGCCGCGUGGGUAGAGACGUUGCACCCUCUCUUGCCUCACCAGACCAUAAACUUGAACAAGCCCCUGCGCAUCUUCAAGUAGUCGCCCACCGCUCCGGCGCGCAAUUUUGAGGCACACAUCCACAAGGGGCGAAAGAGUGGGAGGCUUUUCCCCAGCGCGGGGAAAAUUUCUUCCCAGAUGACCGGAAGGCGGGGGUGUAGAGGGGGGCGCAGCGCGUCCUUCACAGUGGAGUGGUUUCCACAUUGCGGGCGGGAGGUAGUCUUUGGCCCGCCCUCCCUACUCUCAUCCUUACCAACUCUGCCGCCCAGCCAAACCGGCGUGGGAAAUGGGUCCGACGUGCGCGGCAUGGGGAAUAGCCCGGCCAGACAGCCGAGGCCUUGAAGCCUUCUGGCUCUCCUCCCUCCUCCCCAAGGUCCCCGACUCCGACCUCUCCUCCGGAGCAGCCCGGGAGUGUUGGCCGCCUUGCCCAGCUGCUCGGUUCUUGGGAAAGGGAACGAAAUAGGCGGGGUAGGGCGGUGGGCGAGGUGAGGGGAGCCCUCGGGGGCACCCUUACAGCUGCCGGAGCUCCCAGUUCUCUUCCGUCCCCUGUCUAGGGACGGACACUCCAACUCCAGAAUCCAGCCGGCGCGGAGGAUGAAUGCGGGCGAGAAGUCCUUUCCCCUCACCCCCGCCCCAUUUCCGCAGUCUCAGAGCCAGUGUCACAAGUGCUCAGCAAUUUCAUUAAAUGGAACCGGUGGGGGGGGGGGGACUAACCGUCCCCCGCCCCCGCCCCAGUACAAGACCUCACCAAGGGAAUAUGAGAUCCGGCUUCGCUCCCACCCACAAACACCGCCCGGCUUUUCAGAGCCCAAGCUGCAUU
rnacentral:lncRNA from 1 species